AUGAUAGGUGUAGACCGAACUGAUUGUUUUUUGCACCUUAUCGAGAGAAUCCAAAAACUUAUCAAUGGAUGGAAGGAGUGUACCCUAUCCUUUGGAGGCAAGGAGGCGUUAAUUAAAGCGGUGGCCCAAGCCAUCCCUACAUAUGCGAUGAGUGUUUUCAAAUUCCCGAAGAAAAUAUGCAAAGGGAUCACUGAUGCAAUGUCGCAAUACUGGUGGGGUGAUGAGGAUGAUCAGCGCAAAAUGCAUUGGGUAGCCUGGUGGAAGAUGUGUGUACC
rnacentral:rRNA from 1 species